rnacentral:rRNA from 1 species
CACGUAGGCGGCAUGGUAAGUCAAAGGUGAAAGCCCUCGGCUCAACCGAGGAACUGCCUUUGAAACUGCUUUGCUUGAGUCCGGGAGGGGGGAGCGGAAUUCCCAGUGUAGCGGUGAAAUGCGUAGAUACUGGGAGGAACACCGGUGGCGAAGGCGGUUCCCUGGACCGGUACUGACGCUGAGGUGCGAGAGCGUGGGUAGCAAACA